GACGUAGGGCGCGAGCGUUGUCCGGAUUUAUUGGGCGUAAAGAGCUCGUAGGCGGCUUGUCGCGUCGUCCGUGAAAACCUGGGGCUCAACCCCAGGCUUGCGGUCGAUACGGGCAGGCUCGAGUUCGGUAGGGGAGACUGGAAUUCCUGGUGUAGCGGUGAAAUGCGCAGAUAUCAGGAGGAACACCGGUGGCGAAGGCGGAUCUCUGGGCCUUACCUGACGCUCAGGUGCGAAAGCUAGGGGAGCGAACAGG
rnacentral:rRNA from 1 species